AGAGUUUGAUCCUGGCUCAGAACGAACGCUGGCGGCGUGGAUUAGGCAUGCAAGUCGUACGCGAAAGGGUCCUUCGGGGCCUGAGUAAAGUGGCGAACUGGUGAGUACAAGGUGACUAACGUGCCCUUGAUUGGGGGAUAACCUGUCGAAAGAUGGGCUAAUACCGCAUGAUCUCCGAUUGACUUCGGUCAGUUUGAGUAAAGCAGCAAUGCGAUCAAGGAUCGGGUCACCCCCCAUUAGCUUGUUGGUGGGGCAAAGGCCUACCAAGGCUACGAUGGGUAGCUGGUCUGAGAGGACGAUCAGCCACACUGGGACUGAGACACGGCCCAGACUCCUACGGGAGGCAGCAGUGGGGAAUCUUGCGCAAUGCGCGAAAGCGUGACGCAGCAACACCGCGUGAGGGAAGACGGCCUUAGGGUUGUAAACCUCUUUCAGAUGGGACGAAGGUCGUCCGGUGAAUAGCCGAGGUGAUUGACGGUACCGUCAGAAGAAGCUCCGGCUAACUACGUGCCAGCAGCCGCGGUAAUA
rnacentral:rRNA from 1 species